GUGGGUAGUUUGACUGGGGCGGUCUCCUCCUAAAGAGUAACGGAGGAGCACGAAGGUUGGCUAAUCCUGGUCGGACAUCAGGAGGUUAGUGCAAUGGCAUAAGCCAGCUUGACUGCGAGCGUGACGGCGCGAGCAGGUGCGAAAGCAGGUCAUAGUGAUCCGGUGGUUCUGAAUGGAAGGGCCAUCGCUCAACGGAUAAAAGGUACUCCGGGGAUAACAGGCUGAUACCGCCCAAGAGUUCAUAUCGACGGCGGUGUUUGGCACCUCGAUGUCGGCUCAUCACAUCCUGGGGCUGAAGUAGGUCCCAAGGGUAUGGCUGUUCGCCAUUUAAAGUGGUACGCGAGCUGGGUUUAGAACGUCGUGAGACAGUUCGGUCCCUAUCUGCCGUGGGCGCUGGAAGAUUGAGGGGGGCUGCUCCUAGUACGAGAGGACCGGAGUGGACGCAUCACUGGUGUUCGGGUUGUCAUGCCAAUGGCACUGCCCGGUAGCUACAUGCGGAAGAGAUAAGUGCUGAAAGCAUCUAAGCACGAAACUUGCCCCGAGAUGAAUCUUCCCUGAGCCUUUAAGGCUCCUGAAGGAACGUUGAAGACGACGACGUUGAUAGGCCGGGUGUGUAAGCGCAGCGAUGCGUUGAGCUAACCGGUACUAAUGAACCGUGAGGCUUAACCUUACAACGCCGAAG
rnacentral:rRNA from 2 species